UACGAAGGGGGCUAGCGUUGCUCGGAAUCACUGGGCGUAAAGCGCACGUAGGCGGAUUGUUAAGUCAGCUGUGAAAUCUCCAAGCUUAACUUGGAACGGUCAGCUGAUACUGAUGUGCUAGAGUGCAGAAGGGGCAAUCGGAAUUCUUGGUGUAGCGGUGAAAUGCGUAGAUAUCAAGAGGAACACCUGAGGUGAAGACGGGUUGCUGGGCUGACACUGACGCUGAGGCGCGAAAGCUAGGGUAGCAAACGGG
rnacentral:rRNA from 1 species